rnacentral:lncRNA from 1 species
AUCAGGUUAAAAACAUCAAGAGAAAAAAGUAAUCAUGUGGUUAAUAAGAGAGGGAUGAUUGAUUCAUAGCCCUUGUGCUCCAUUAAUACCUCUUCAAUGCCAAGAGAACUGGAGAAGUGCUUCCCCUGCCCCAAAGAGAAGACAAUCAUUGGAGUAAAGACAUCUUAUAAAGUGAUAGUGGUGGAAAUAUUAAAGGGCAACCUGAGGGGAGAAAGAAGGGACUUCUGUUGCCAGGUGUUGUGAGGACCAAAUGGGAUAAUGGAUUUGAAAAAACUUUAUAAGAGGCAUGGAAAUCUGGAUGAAAGACAAAAGUCAGAAUGACUGGUGAUGGCUCAGGAUGCAGUGAAUGACCAUGAUGUAAUCAUUGUGUGACCAAGCUCUAAAUGCCUCACAGCAUCUGCUUCAGCUACUUUCAUGGACAUUGGAAAAAAUUGUUCUCAUCUGUUCAUUCCACUGGGGAAAUCCUCAUAUGCUUGGGGUAAACAUCCCUCUAACACACCAGUGGGUUUGGGGCUCAUCAUUUGCCCUCAACCUAGUUUAGCCCAUUUCUCGAGAUGUGGUCUCUGUGCAUGCUUCUUGGAAUCACAGGAACAAGUAGAACUUGUUGCACACCAAAGAUGUUUAAUCAAGAUUUGUGGUCAUGUAGGUCAGAACAAAAAGAAAACCUUACUAGGAUUGAUGCAAUGAAGAGAAGGGAGAUUCUUUGAGUUCCUUGAAAGGGAAUAA